AAUCCUCUCCAUUGUCUCUCCGCCCCAGGGGCCUUUCUCGUGGGAAGUAGAAAGACAAAAUUUACCCAAAAUACUAGAUCAGAUCCACCUGAAUUUCAGCAAAAUCGAAAACAAAGCCCUAGGAUUGAUUGAUCAAUCAACAAAUAAUGGCUCAACUCUCAUCAGAUUCACUAUCUGCAACCCUAGACUCUUCUCGCGCCGAUGAUCAACAAUCACAGAGCUCUUCUUCUGAUCCGUCUUCACAACUUUCACGUAAUCUAUCAUCGAGUCGACUCAACGCCAAAGCGCCUGAGUUCGUUCCUCGUAGUAGCAGUUCAACCGAUCCAACUCAGCAGACCCAGCUCUUAUACCACCAACCGCCACAGCCACUUAUCCCGGGCAGUGGUUACUUCCAUGCGCCGGCGAUUCAGGG
rnacentral:lncRNA from 1 species